AAUGAAAAAGAAAAAAGACCGAAAUAUCGGAUAACUAACGAAAUCGCGGUCUGAUCCCAUGAUAGCCAUGAUAGCCACGUGCGCUUCGAAAUCCAUUCCAACAUAAUUGGAUUCGGUAUUUGUUUUCUACGAUCGCCAUAAAUUCCGGGUCCCCAGAUUCCGACGACUUCCUAUUUGAUUGCAAAUUGAUCGGAAAGAGGAUCAAUUUGGAGAAAGUUAGGGUUUUGAUGAUGGAUGGCUUGAGAUGGUUCUGUUGGAAUCGAGGAAGGGGAGGAGCUGUUUAUGAUCGCUUUCCUACUGAGCCUGAACCUUUCUCUCUUCCCUCGCCGAUCCCUCAAUGGCCUAAAGGUGAGGGCUUUGGUCAGGGAAGUAUAUGCAUCGGCGAACUGGAAAUUGUAGGAGUCACAAAGUUCGAGAGAGUUUGGAGGUGCUAUCAGCUCAGUGAGAACACUAAGGGGGCUGUGUUUUGUAGACCUGUAGAUAUUAAAGAUGGUUUUUUCUGCUUGGGUCAUUAUGCACAGCCAGUUGAUCAACCUUUACGAGGUUUUGUUCUUGCUGCCAAGGAGAUAACUGCUUCCAGAGGCGAAAAGCUUCCAGCUCUUCAAAAACCUAUAGAUUACACACUCAUUUGGAGCUCCGAUGACGGUAAAGAUGAUACUUAUGACGGUUGCGGCUACUUUUGGCUCCCGUGUCCCCCUGAAGGCUAUAAAGCUAUGGGCUAUGUGGUUACUAGAGAACCUGGUAAGCCCUCACUUGAAGAAAUUAGAUGUGUUCGGGCUGAUCUCACUGAUACAUGUGAAGCUCAUGGGUUGAUUGUGGAAACAUCAUUUUUAAACACACCUUUGCGAGUGUGGAAGACUAGGCCUGCACAUAGGGGGAUAUGGGGAAGAGGGGUAUCAGUUGGUACUUUCUUCUGUGGUAGCUCCAAAGAUGAUAUGAACAUUUCUUGCUUAAAUAAUCUUGAUUCAUCUCUUCAUGCAAUGCCAAAUUUGGACCAGAUCCAUGCAGUGAUAAAUCAUUAUGGACCUACUGUUUUCUUCCAUCCUGAAGAGAGAUAUUUGCCGUCAUCAGUCUCAUGGUUUUUUAAGAAUGGUGCUACUUUAUAUAAGAAAGGCAAGAAAACAGGAGAGAUUAUUGAUUCCAAAGGCUCGAACCUCCCUAACGGUGGAGGAAAUGAUGGAGACUACUGGAUAGAUUUACCAGAUGAUGAUCGGAAUAACAUAGUCAAAUGUGGAGAUAUUGAGAGUGCUGAACUCUAUGUCCAUGUGAAACCGGCUAUUGGAGGAACUUUCACUGAUUUUGCAAUGUGGGUCUUUUGCCCUUUUAAUGGCCCGGGAACCCUAAAGAUUAGUCUCGCAAGUUUUCCCUUCAGUAAAGUUGGGCAACAUGUUGGAGAUUGGGAGCACUUCACUCUCCGAGUAUGUAACUAUACGGGUGAGCUCUGGAGUAUAUAUUUUUCUCAGCACAGUGGUGGAGUUUGGGUGGAUACAUACAACUUGGAGUUUAUUAAAGAUAACAAAGCUAUUGUUUAUUCAACAAAAAAUGGGCAUGCUAGUUUUCCACAUGCAGGGUGCUACCUCCAAGGAUCUGAAAAACUUGGUAUCGGUAUAAGAAACGAUGCUGAGAUAAGUAACUUUUUUGUAGAUUCUAGUAUCAAGUAUCAAAUUAUUGCAGCAGAGUAUCUUGGUGAUGCUGUAACUGAGCCUUCUUGGUUGCAAUACAUGAGAGAAUGGGGUCCAACUAUAAAAUAUAAUUCCAAAUGCGAAUUGGAUAAGAUUCUCAAGUUUUUACCUCUCAAUCUCAGGUAUUCAGUGGAAUCCAUCUUUGAUAAACUUCCAAUUGAGUUAUAUGGAGAGGAAGGACCAACUGGUCCCAAGGAAAAGAACAACUGGGUGGGGGAUGAGAGAUGGUAGCUUCCUUUUUCUGCUCCUCCUCUAAGUACAUUUGAGAUUCAUUAUUGGGGUUGGAGAAAGGCAAAUUUCUCCAGGCGGCGGCAUGAGCUAGUCAAGAAUAAUUUUGAUAAAUACUUAUAUUGGAAUUAGCUUGGGAUGGAGAUCAAUUGAAGACUUCAGAAAGUAAUUAUAAAGCUUGGUGCUGGGUGAUUCUAGCAGGACUUCAUGAGCAUUAUCAACUUGGUUGGUUGUCUUCUCUCGAGAUGUUAUUUGCACUGAGUUUGUGGAGGUACUAGGUAAUUAUGGGUGCAAUUAUCCAACAAAAGAACGGAAGUUUUCAUGGCUCGGGCAGACCAUGUACAUGCUAUUUAUUUAAAGAUCGAUCUGCUGCGAUUCUAUGGAGCAUUCCACCAACAAAUGCGUCGCCUGCGCCCGUUGUAUCUACUGGCUUGACUGCAAUUGAUUUUACGGUCCCUAUGAAAUCCUGAGAGUUCAAAUGGAAAACUACAAUUAUCAGUAAAAUUCAAUUGUGCACACUAC